AUGGUUUUAUUUUUUUUAUUAUUGCUUGGCCCUAAUCCUCUUCCGUAGUGUUGGAAUAUGAGCCUGUUUUCAAAAAAGUGGAGCGUUCCUUUAAAGAAAGUCCCGAGAUUCUUAUCUCUUAUUUAUGACAUUGUGGUGGUGUUCACGUGCGUUCAGCUUGUAAAUACGAUAUUUCCGACCUGACUUGAACGCAACAUGUAGGCCUAUGACUGCAACUCGGAAAUGAAAUGUCCUGUUAGUUGCCGAAAACCUACUGUACCCUCUUCCCUAAACCUAACAGAUUGUGAGCAAAAAACAAUUGUGAGAUUUAAAAAAAAAAAAAAGUGUUUGCUGAAGCAACCAUGCCGUUUUAGCUUCCUAUGAGGCUGUGAGCUCUCGUGUUUCAGGUGCUCUCCGCACCGCAUGGCAACGGCAAUGCUGUAGCCCACCAGUUCCUCCACCUCAGUUCUCUCAGAUGCGCUGCCGCUGUGUUAUAAAACACUUUCUCCAAAGCUCAGUUUGUCUUCAAAUAUUUACCAGCACAAUACAUUUCCGGCUGUCUGCCUGCUUGCCAUUGAUUUACAGAUGAGGAAAAUCGAAGCAUCCCAUGCUGUUUGCUCCUAAAGAGGAAACGCUGAGCUUUGUGACACAAACAAUGUCCUGCUGACAGAAUGGUGAUCGUUAUCUUUAAUUGAAGGCUGGCAUCAAGGGUAGCUGUAUUUAGGAGAAUCUCAAGUUAAGACCGCAUGGAAAGAAAGUUCAACAGCACACAUUCAUGGUAAACCUUCAUGUCCAUUACUAAUCAGUCUUGUUUUCUUGCACAGCUGCAAAUGCUUGUCCAAGAAAAUGCUUUUGUACUUGAAAAUGGAAAUGUGUAAAUUGCUGCCAUAUCUUGUCUUAAAACUGAGCAGGCAACUUACGUAAUAACUGUUAUAGAACUAAACUUUUUUUUACUGUUAACAGACAGUCUAGUGAAACUCUGAUUUUGGUUUGACACACACUGAAUAUGAGACCUGGACUUGAGGUAAUAUUCUUCCAUAAUAGGUAGGGAUACACUGAAAUUUUGCCCACUACAGGGAAACUACCUCACAAAAUGAUAUGCAUUUCAAUGCAUAUGUUGUGAUUCAUGACUAAGCACACAAAAAUAUUAAAAGAAUAUAUAUAUAUAUUUUUUAAAAAGCAUUUAAAAUAUUAAAAGAAUCAAAUCUGUUUUUGAUCCAUGGCUUGGGGCCAAACCAAACAUGCUCUGCUGCAUGCCUCGACCUUGAUGUUUUGGAAGGUGAUGAGGUGUUUGAGGACAACUUUUGUCAUUCAUCAUUAAUGUCUCGUCCCGCUCUCACCGUCCCCCAGACGUGUCUGAAACAUUCAUCAACCACGUUCGGCUCGGACACUAGCCCCUGUGAUUACCUGUGACCCUUGUGUCACUUACAAACUAUUCGUGUACACACACAGCAGGCAUCACAUCACCGGCCGGCCCUGUACCGGGGCAGACGGCUUCAUUCAUAUGUAGUCCUGGCGUGUCACUCUUCAUGGGCCCCUGGCACAGACUAUAAAUCACACACGCUAAGAUGACAGGCCUCCACAAGACAUCUUUACAGCCAGAUCCUGAAUUUAUGCCCUUCUUCAUUGCAACACCAGGGUCUUCAGAAACACUAUUAAGCAUCACAGAUAAUGUGGCAGGGAGCAGGUCAAUAGCACAUUUACACUUUCUCUUCUUCCUUCAAUCUUUUCAGAUUCAUCCUCAUCACCCUGGAGGUGUUUUUAUGCUACUUUUACACAUGAGAAUCAAUAAACUUCCUUCCUCUUUUAAAGUCUGGUUUAUUCUUUUGAAGAUGUGUGAGAAAAAGGUUGUUUUUUUUUAUACUUACUGCUCUGUGGAGCAUGGAGUGCUUCCUCAUAUAAGGACUGAUUUUUGUACUGACAGCCAUGUUUGUGUCUUUACAAUGUGUAAAAGGUACAAUUUCAUUGAUUAUGCUAAGACCUAAUGUAAUAAACUCGCUUUCACUAUUUUAAAACAUUAUAAGAUUUUAAGCAUCAUUACUCCAGUCCUAAUGAUCCUAAAGAAAUCAUUCUAAUAUGCUGAUUUGGUUCUCAGGAAUCAUUUCUUAUUAUUAUCAAUGUUGAUAAUAAAAAACAAUUGUGCUGCUUAAUAUUUUAUCAAUGAAUAGAAAGUUCAAAAGAGCAGCAUUUUUAGUCUUGUCUGCCUCAGCGGUCUAACAGUGUUCCUCAAUGUCAAAAUGAAUGAGAUGACCAAUCAAAUUAAAGAAGGCGGGGUUUACAUUUUCUUUUGGCUUAAUGCCAUUGUGGAAACUCUUGAUAUACAAUGAUUGAUGGACAUCUUUGAUUUUAAUGAGGGGGAAAAAAAAACAACGUAUACGAGGGCGGAUUAGAACCCGGAACCUGUGACGAGGUUAACAAAAAUUCUACCACCAGACCACUAGGGAAUUCAAAUACUAAUAGAGGAUCUAUUUAUUUAUUCACUAACGUGAAAAAUCUCAGGACUAACAAUAUAUUUAAUGCAAAUUAAAGCAAAUAUUUGCAAAUAACUCAAAUGAUUAUUUCCCAACUAGAAUUAGACCUAGAAUUUCCUUUACAGUUCUGUUUCUUUAUGCUUUAUAAAAAAAUAUAUAAAGCUCAAGACAUGGUUACGGCCAUGUAUAAAAAAAGCAAAAAGCUUACACUAUGUCCUUUUUUUUUUUUUUUUUUUUUUUUUUUUUGGUUACGGAAGGCGGUCCAGCAAAAGAUAGAUAUUUUACUUCAUAACUUGUUAAAUAUGUUUUUUUUUUUUUUUUACACAAAUGCAUCGCUUCGCUUCAGAAGGCCUUUAAUAACCUUCCGGAGCAGUGUGGAAUGUGCUUAUGAUGGAUGGAUGUGGAUGGAAGCUCAUACUCGUUGGUCUGCCAUUAUAAAGCUCAGAUGUGUCAGGAUAUUUAUUAAUAUUUCUCCGAUUGAGGGUGAGUAAAGCUUGGGGUAAUUUUCAUUUGAAAGUGAACUAAUCCUUUUAAAGCAAAGUUGUAGAGCGAACUGGCUUGACGUAAUUUUGAAUAAAAUCAGGCCAAAACAAAAUUUGUUUGGAGUUCAUUUUAGGAGUUGGAAACAGCUCACAAAAGUGAACUUUCCGGAAUAGCAUUAUUUACUAUUGGUCCGUAAUAAAUAUGAAAUUGGUAGGUGUGCUCCAACUUCUUAGAUGUGGAAAUCUCCUGUGGUUCAUUUCUUCUGUUCAGUCCGUCAAGG